AACGUCAUGGAGGGAGGAUGGCGUGGGGAGAGGGCCCAGCCUUCUCUUUGUCCGGGGCUGACCCCUGGUCCUCAGAAGCUGGGUGACCCUGCCUGCCUUCCUGUCUCAACCCCAGCCAAGUGGAGGAGGCUCCUCUUUGCACAGGGUUUUACAUGAUCAGCAGCUCGUUCAGGAGCCUGGGAAUACUCUUCAUUGAUCUUCAUUUCUGUUGUUUCAGGAUAUUCAAAAGUUUAGGGGGAGGAGUUCUGUGGUGCAGUGGAUUAAGGAUCCAGCACUGUCACUGCAGCCGCUUGGGUCACUGCUGUGGCAGGGGUUUGAUCCCCAGCCUGGGGACUUCCACAUGCUGUGGGAGUGGCCCCAAAAAACCCAGGGGUUGGGGGAACAACUACAGGCAUUGAGCCCCUCUUCUUAAACCCUCAAGUGACAGGCUGAAUCCCCUGUAGGGGGAGCAGUGUCAAACCAGAAGAGCAAACGCACUUUGAAUUAAGCUUGAAAAGCUGGCCCUCAGGAGGCUUGUGUAGCUUAACCGACUGUAGCAUAAGAAGGCAGCUUCCCUGAAGUGGGUGUGGAGGGAGCACAGUCCCAACAGGAUGCGGCUCCACUGAGCCACUGAGCGUCUAUAAGAAUAAAUCUGUCUGAAGGCCUGGGAGUUUUAGGUCCUGCCAUCUGGCUAGAGAAGCAGACAGGUUUCCUUCUGUGUUGAUGGGAUUUCCCAAGUGACCUGGUUGAAAACCACUUCCAGAAGCUGGUGUACAGCUACGUGUAAGGAAGGCUGACCCACCUCCAGGCAGGGGUACAUCUGGAGGGGUCUGAGAAAGACUUAGCUGGGUUGUAAUGGGAACAGUUAAACCCAGAAAGUCCACUGGGAGAGUCAGGAGACAGGGGACCCUCAUCGCUGAAGUCAUCUGAAAUCUUUGCACAUAACCACAUUCUGUACCGUCUUAGAGCAGAUUGCUUCCUCGUAGUUAAAUAAGCUAAACCAGAGUUUCUCAAACAUGAGCAACAUGUUGUGCCUCUUAAAGGAAGGGCUUCUUGCAGACCCUUGUGUUUGUCUGGGGCUCACUUGGCAGCACCCAAUCUUCAGAUGAGCCAGGAUGGCUGGAAGUCUUGACUUAGAUUAUCACUGAAGUGGAAAAAAACCCAAACAAACAACACCACACUUUAAAAAGGUCAGAGAAGUCAAAAACCCCAGAGACUACAUCCUGAGACCCUGAGGUGGAAGAAAGGUCUGUGAAACCUGUGAGCUGUGGAAGAGAGACAUUCCCAGCUUAAUACUCAGAGUCCUGUGAAAAGUGAGCAACACCCAGCUGAAGCUACGCAGCCUCUCUGUGGGUUACUGCCCUCCAGAGAGAUGCUCCCUGCCCUGAAGAAGUGCUCCUGGCCUGUGGAUGCCGGGGUUCCUCUCCCACCUCUGUGGAGGGGACCAUUCUAGGUUUGUCUCUGACCAUCACACACACUCUCAGGGUUAGUGAUGGGGAGGCAGUGGGCAAGAUGGAAGCACAGGAAGGCCAUGCCAGGUGCACGGGCAGGUCAGAGGCUGGUCCACAUGCCCGUCUCGGGUGCAGCACAGGGCAGCCAUGACACGUGGUCACUUGACUGACACAGGUUUGAAUCUUGCCUGGAGGCAAGAAGGCUGGUGAUUGACUCUAGCUGACUAUCCAGCAUCUGUCUCUCCUGCUGCAUUUACACAAGUCCCAUGUGAAAAACCAGCCCUGUAAAGAAAAAAAAGCUAGAGAGGGAAAAGAAGAAAUUUAAUAAAAGGGUGACUUCAUGUUUGUGUCCCCCUAGAAUUCCUAUAUUGAAAUCCAUCCCCCCACACUCAGUGUGAUGGCAUUAGGAGGUGAGUGCAGAUGCCCAAUGAAUGGGAUUAGUGUUCUUAUAAAAGAGAUCCCCCCUCAAAUGGUAUCCCCGAAACAGAGCCUUAGUGAGAACCUGGUCAUGCUGGCACCAUGACUUCAGAUUUCCAGCCUCCAGGACCAUGGGAAGUAGAUUUCUGUGUGGAUAAGACACCCAGUUUAUGGUAUUUUGUUACAGCAGCCUGAGCUAAGACAGGCUGGCUUUAAGUUAAAGAGUGGUUUUUAAAUUUUGGGUUAGUUAAACACGAUGAAUGUAAUACAGCAUUCAUGGUAGAACUUCAUAAAUGACUUUAGGCUUAUAUUUACAAAAUCAUUAAAAGUCACGUAUUUUUCAAUUUCAUGGGGAAAACUACAGAUUAGAGGAUGCGGUUGGGUUCCUUGGGCUGUAACGGGUGAAGACCAGAAGUAAGGAUUCGUGGGCAGCAGAGAGGGCCAUGAAAUGAAACUGAGCCAUCACAGGCCUGACCCCAUGGCGUCUAGAGUCUGGAGGAGGGUUUUGGAUUGGGGUCAGCUCUAGAGACGCUUAGUGCAGGAAUUCACACUCCUCACCCUAGUGUGUGAUUGUCAGUGUGACUCGGCUCUGAGUGACUGUCUUUCUGACCCAGUACCAGCUGACUUCCUCCUCUUGUCCACAGUUUGAGUCCUCUGACUCUGAGCUUGCUCAGGGUCCACAGUGGCUUCUCAGGCCUCCUCUAUGACCAACUCUCAAUAACAGUUUCUGUUGCUACCUGGCUUGGUCCUUAACUUUUUCUGUUCUGUAGAGCAGCCCAGUUUAUCCUUUCGUCCAGCCUGUUGGGCAUAAUUUGUGGGCUCCCAGCCAAGAGUGGGUUGUCCCUUCAACUGUGGAGAGAAUUGUUCAUGGACGUGACAUGCUCAUUGCCCCUUAGGAGGGUCACGGACAGGAAAGAAUCCUUUCAAAGGUGGUGUGGCUGUACCUCCACCAUGGUCCUGUUCAUGACUUUCGUUAUUCCUGAAGUUUUCUAUUUAAUUUUUUUAUUUGGAAACUUAGGAUGUUGCAAGAAUAGUAAAAAGAAAUCCUGUAAAUCCUUUAUCCAGAUUCACCCACUGUCAAUAUAUUGCCAUUUUGGUUUUCUAGGCCAAGUUUUUAAUAAAUUUGUAUUAGGUAUAAAUUAGGAAUCCCUCAUCCCCCUUCUGCCCACCCUAACUUUUUCUACCCCCUCCCCCCCGCCAUGUUUUGAUGAAAAGAAAUGACAGAAGCUAUGAUGGGUGGAUUCUCAGGAAAGAACUUGUCAGAAAAGUCAUGGAGCUGUUAGCNGCACCUAAAGCAUAUGGAAGUUGCCAGGCUAGGGGUUGGAUCAGAACUGUGGCUGCUGGGCUACACCACAGCCACAGCAACACCAGAUCUGAACCACGUCUGUGACCUACACCACAGCUGAAGGCAGCCCUGGAUCCUUAGCCCACUGAGUGAGGCCAGGGAUUGAACUCUCAUCCUUAUGGAUACUAGUUGGAUUUGUUUCUGCUGCACCACAGUGGGAACGCCAAUCUAGUGGUAUUUUUAAUGCACAUGACAAAGUCAAUGCAAUUAAAGUUUAAGAAAAGAUGAAGAAAAUGGCAUUUUAGAUACUCCAAAAAAACCAUACCCAUAGCAACUGAAAUCCUGGAUAAAUAUUAGAUGUAUUUUAAACGUGUACUUUUAAAAUGUAUACUAUGCAAAUUUUAAUAUUUUAAAAAGACAUAAUUUACAAUAGCAAUAAAAUAUUAUUUGCCUAGCAGUAAAUUUGGCAGAAGAUAAUGCAAUCUUUUUAAAGGAGAAAGUCAACAAAUUAGGGGGUCUUUAGAGGUGGUAAGACUUAUUAUAAUGUUAUCGUAUUUAAAGGAAGGCGCUGACUCAAAAUUCAAUAGAACAGAUAGAGACCCAGAGGUAGACCCAGACAUGUAAGAAAACUUAAGUUCUAUCAGAGAUAGUAAGGCAGAUCAGUGGGGAAUUGAUGGGAUAUUCAAUAAAUAAUGCUCAGGCAAGAGGUUAUCUUUUUCUUUUUUUUUGGUCUUUUUUAGUGCCUCACCCAUAGCAUAUGGAAGUUCCUAGGCUAGGGGUGGAAUCGGAGCUGCAGCUGCUGGCCUACACCACAGCCACAGCAAAAGAGGUUAUCCUUGUAUCUCAAGAGGGAAAAGAAAUGAAAUGGGACCGUUAUAUCACUCCACACUCAAAAAUCAAUUCCUGGCAGAUUAAAGACACUUACGUAAAAAGGAAAACACAGAAAAUGUUUAGAAUACUGUAUGAGAAAAAAAUUUUUUUUUUAGGAGUUCCCGUCGUGGCGCAGUGGUUAACGAAUCCGACUAGGAACCAUGAGGUUGCGGGUUCGGUCCCUUCCCUUGCUCAGUGGGUUAACGAUCCGGUGUUGCCCUGAGCUGUGGUGUAGGUCGCAGACGCGGCUCGGAUCCCGAGUUGCUGUGGCUCUGGCGUAGGCCGGUGGCCACAGCUCCGAUUCAACCCCUAGCCUGGGAACCUCCAUAUGCCGCGGCCCAAGAAAUAGCAACAAAAACAACAACAAAGAC
rnacentral:lncRNA from 1 species